CCUACGGGUGGCAGCAGUGAGGAAUAUUGGUCAAUGGACGAGAGUCUGAACCAGCCAAGUAGCGUGAAGGAUGACUGCCCUAUGGGUUGUAAACUUCUUUUAUAUGGGAAUAAAACAUGGUAUGCAUACCCUCUUGUAUGUACCAUAUGAAUAAGGAUCGGCUAACUCCGUGCCAGCAGCCGCGGUAAUACGGAGGGUCCGAGCGUUAUCCGGAUUUAUUGGGGUUAACGGGAGCGUAGGUGGAUUGUUAAGUCAGUUGUGAAAGUUUGCGGCUCAACCGUAAAAUUGCAGUUGAAACUGGCAGUCUUGAGUACAGGAGAGGUGGGCGGAAUUCGUGGGGUAGCGGGGAAAUGCUGAGAUAUCACGAAGAACUCCGAGUGCGAAGGCAGCUCACUGGACUGCAACUGACACUGAGGCUCGAAAGUGUGGGUAGCAAACAGGAUUAGAUACCCGGGUAGUC
rnacentral:rRNA from 1 species